CCUACGGGAGGCAGCAGUGGGGAAUAUUGCGCAAUGGGGGCAACCCUGACGCAGCCAUGCCGCGUGAAUGAAGAAGGCCUUCGGGUUGUAAAGUUCUUUCGGUAGCGAGGAAGGCAUUUAGUUUAAUAGACUAGGUGAUUGACGUUAACUACAGAAGAAGCACCGGCUAACUCCGUGCCAGCAGCCGCGGUAAUACGGAGGGUGCGAGCGUUAAUCGGAAUAACUGGGCGUAAAGGGCACGCAGGCGGACUUUUAAGUGAGGUGUGAAAGCCCCGGGCUUAACCUGGGAAUUGCAUUUCAGACUGGGAGUCUAGAGUACUUUAGGGAGGGGUAGAAUUCCACGUGUAGCGGUGAAAUGCGUAGAGAUGUGGAGGAAUACCGAAGGCGAAGGCAGCCCCUUGGGAAUGUACUGACGCUCAUGUGCGAAAGCGUGGGGAGCAAACAGGAUUAGAUACCCUGGUAGUC
rnacentral:rRNA from 1 species